CCUACGGGAGGCAGCAGUGAGGAAUAUUGGUCAAUGGACGAGAGUCUGAACCAGCCAAGUAGCGUGAAGGAUGACUGCCCUAUGGGUUGUAAACUUCUUUUAUAUGGGAAUAAAAUGUUCCACGUGUGGGAUUUUGUAUGUACCAUAUGAAUAAGGCUCGGCUAACUCCGUGCCAGCCGCCGCCGUAAUACGGAGGAUCCGAGCGUUAUCCGGAUUUAUUGGGUUUUAAGGGAGCGUAGGUGGAUUGUUAAGUCAGUUGUGAAAGUUUGCGGCUCAACCGUAAAAUUGCAGUUGAAACUGGCAGUCUUGAGUACAGUAGAGGUAGGCGGAAUUCGUGGUGUAGCGGUGAAAUGCUUAGAUAUCACGAAGAACUCCGAUUGCGAAGGCAGUUCACUGGACUGCAACUGACGCUGAGGCUCGAAAGUGUGGGUAUCAAACAGGAUUAGAUACCCGAGUAGUC
rnacentral:rRNA from 1 species